rnacentral:piRNA from 1 species
UAAGUGAUAUCAGAAAAUUAUCCACUUUGC